rnacentral:misc_RNA from 1 species
CUCGCUGGACCGGAAGCUCAUGCUCUUGCUCAGCUCCAGGGCCGACAGGUCUCUGGAGCCGGCGCUGGGGCCUUGUUGCUCGGCGGUGGGCUGGCCGUCAUGGUCACGGAGCUCAUGGCGGAGGCAGGCGUUGACCCACUUGAGGUAGACGAGCUCCUCGACGUGCGCGCAGUGGUCGUUGUGCAGUUGCUCGAUCUGCCUCGUCAGUCGCUCGUUGCUCUCCCUCAGAUUCGAUCAACGGGUAGCAUGAAGACUGGGAAUGCGUGGGUAAUGGUUGCUGAAGGAGAUGUGAAGAUAACAAGAUAUGCAAUAAGGUGGAGUUCUGAUGAAGCACUUGCCAGUGAUUUAUGAUGAAGCAGAAAUAAGUGGACCGGAAUAAUACGAAGGUUGACUCAGAGCCGAAGGUGCGAGCAGGAAAGCUUCGGCGCGACAGCAAAGAAUGGAACCGACUUAAAGAUGAAAAGGCUAUUCAGACCUCAAUAGACUACUAUAGAGUUAUUAUCAAAUGUAAAGGGC